GUCCUACGGGGCGCAGCAGUAGGGAAUCUUCCACAAUGGGCGAAAGCCUGAUGGAGCAACGCCGCGUGGGUGAAGAAGGUCUUCGGAUCGUAAAACCCUGUUGUUAGAGAAGAAAGUGCGUGAGAGUAACUGUUCACGUUUCGACGGUAUCUAACCAGAAAGCCACGGCUAACUACGUGCCAGCAGCCGCGGUAAUACGUAGGUGGCAAGCGUUAUCCGGAUUUAUUGGGCGUAAAGGGAACGCAGGCGGUCUUUUAAGUCAAGGGUGAAAUCCCCGCGCUCAACGUGGGAACUGCCUUUGAAAC
rnacentral:rRNA from 1 species